rnacentral:rRNA from 1 species
GGGGAAUAUUGCGCAAUGGGCGAAAGCCUGACGCAGCAACGCCGCGUGAGGGAUGACGGCCUUCGGGUUGUAAACCUCUUUCAGCAGGGAAGAAGCGAAAGUGACGGUACCUGCAGAAGAAGCACCGGCUAACUACGUGCCAGCAGCCGCGGUAAUACGUAGGGUGCAAGCGUUGUCCGGAUUUAUUGGGCGUAAAGAGCUCGUAGGCGGUUAGUCACGUCGGAUGUGAAAACCCGGAGCUUAACUCCGGGCCUGCAUUCGAUACGGGCUGACUAGAGUGUUGUAGGGGAGACUGGAACUCCUGGUGUAGCGGUGAAAUGCGCAGAUAUCAGGAAGAACACCGGUGGCGAAGGCGGGUCUCUGGGCAACUACUGACGCUGAGGAGCGAAAGCGUGGGGAGCAAAC